rnacentral:misc_RNA from 1 species
GCUCCAGGCUAUCAAAAAGCUGGCACAGGAACUGCUGGCAAAGGAGGCACAACUGCUGGGGCUCAGAAGGGGGUUGAUAUAGAGGCUGUUGGGUCUAUAAAUGGAAUCCCUGCGUAUGACUUUGACCUGGAAACUUUGCAGUCAGAUGAAAAACCUUGGAGAAAACCUGGUGCUGAUAUCACAGACUACUUUAAUUACGGUUUUAAUGAAGACACAUGGCAGCAGUAUUGUGAAAAGCAGAGACGACUAAGGGGUGAAAACCAGGGCUCCAGAACAUAUACACACAGCUCCUCAGGAAUAAAGAAAGAUAUAACAGAGACUCCACAGAAUGUCCCUGUUUUGUCGGGUAGAAAAGCCAUUGUGACCAUACCUAGAAAAACCUCGGGCACCAUUGAUGUGAUCGGUGGAACAGCUCGUGACUCACGGAGACCCGAGGGAGAACCCAUUCAAGUGGCAGGGAAAUACCAAAGUGCCAUUCCUUCUCACCCACCCCCUGGUAUGGACUUCAGUGUGCCACCCCCAGGAAUGCCCCCACCAGGGGUUCCUCCCCCUGGAAUGGCAGUGCCACCUGGAGUUCCUCCACCUGGUAUCCCAGGAAUCCCUCCUCCCGGCUUUCCAGAUUUUGAUCCAUUCUUUCCUCCGCCUGGACAACCCUCAAGUACACGUUAUGAUGACCGACCCCCCUUUAGUUAUGACAAUCAGCAUACGUCCUACCCAACAUCUUACCCAGACCCACAUUCCUCCUCAUGGGACAGAACGGAGGCUUAUUGGAGAGAGUAUGUUGGAAGAGAUAGAAGUCCAGCCAGAUCUGAGUCUGAGUUCAGCAGGGAUUCUUAUAGGAGAGACAGAGAUACAGAGAGAUCUCGUGAUCGGGAUAGGGACAGAUCCAGAGAGCGAGAUAGGGAUCGGGACCGAGAUAGGGACAGACGACACAGAGAUGACAAACACAAGUCACGCAGAAAGGACAAAGAGGAUGAGUCUAGUAGGUCUAAGCACAAGAAAAGCAAGCGUUCCCGGCGGGACAAGGAUGAGGAUUCUGGGAACACAGGAUCUGAAUCCACCAGCAAAGUCGAUUAGAAAUUCAUUUUAUUCUCUUUUCCCAAUUAUUUCAACAUUGUCAUUAAAACUGCUCAUUGUCAUCACUAU